GCGCGACGGAAGACGACAGGUGUGGCGAUACAUCAACACAGAACUGCUUCUGUGUUUGCCCACCAGUUUCCUGCUUCAGCCUUAUUCAGCCGAUUCAGGAGCGCCAAGUCAACCUCUGUGGACCAAAAGGAAGUGUAAUCAGUGAUCAGCAGCAAGGAGCUGAGAGGAGGUCAGUGGUCGUGAGCGCCUGCUGCUGCUCUAAUUGAACAGUUGCUCAGAGUGGUUGUGUGGGCUCCUGCAUUCAUCGACAGCGUGUAAUUGGCCGACUGAGACUGGAGAAGAAGGCUGCGUGGGUUUCUCUCUCUGAUUGGUGUGAAGGUC